rnacentral:rRNA from 1 species
GACGAACGCUGGCGGCGUGCUUAACACAUGCAAGUCGAACGGAAAGGCCCUGCUUUUGUGGGGUGCUCGAGUGGCGAACGGGUGAGUAACACGUGAGUAACCUGCCCUUGACUUUGGGAUGACUUCAGGAAACUGGGGCUAAUGCCGGAUAGGAGCUCCUGCUGCAUGGUGGGGGUUGGAAAGUUUCGGCGGUUGGGGAUGGACUCGCGGCUUAUCAGCUUGUUGGUGGGGUAGUGGCUUACCAAGGCUUUGACGGGUAGCCGGCCUGAGAGGGUGACCGGCCACAUUGGGACUGAGAUACGGCCCAGACUCCUACGGGAGGCAGCAGUGGGGAAUAUUGCACAAUGGGCGGAAGCCUGAUGCAGCAACGCCGCGUGCGGGAUGACGGCCUUCGGGUUGUAAACCGCUUUCGCCUGUGACGAAGCGUGAGUGACGGUAAUGGGUAAAGAAGCACCGGCUAACUACGUG